AAGUCGUAACAAGGUUUCCGUAGGUGAACCUGCGGAAGGAUCAUUAAUGAUUUUUAAAGCGAGUCGAGCGUUUAAGCGAGGCUUGCGAAAAAUAUUUAAAACCCCACUCUUUUUUAACUUUAAAAUAUAAAUCAUGAUACAUGAAUUUAAAAAAAAUCACUUUCAACAACGGAUCUCUUGGCUCUC
rnacentral:misc_RNA from 1 species